CGAAUGGAGCGCCAAGCAACAUUCCGGCGACAUCGAGGCCUCCGCCGACUCCACCUACGAUCUCCAAAGGAAGCUCGUGCAAGCCGCUCUCGCCGUUGAUUCCUCCGGUGGAGUCCAGUCCUCCUUCUCUCCCGUGUCUCCUACCUCCGCUGUGUUCCAGGUACACAUUUUCACAUCCCUGACGAUUUUGGUUUUUUGAUUCGGAGAUAAAACUUCUCGGUUUAUGUUUAUCCUGCGUUUAUCUUCGAUCCUUUUUAUUUUGUAUUAUUUUGAUUUUGUAGAAAAUUACAUUUUCUAUGCGUCAUUGCACUGUACCUGUUUCGAGUAUUGCUUAGGCUUUUGUUAUGCUAUUUUUCAUUGACGAAUGUGCUGAAUCCGAGUUUGCUAGUUUGGUUCAUGUUAUUAUUCAUUUGUGAGAUUCUGCUGUGGAAUUAAUAGUUUGACUUUAUUAUUAUUUUUUCUUUAUUGUAUUUUUUGGUUUUUCAUUCAGAUUACUCUGAGAUUAUGAGCUGACUUGAAGAGAAUUAUAGGUUUUAGUGCUAUGACUUGCAAAGCUUAAUCAUUGUUCAUUACCUAAAAGUAUAUAAUUUGUACACACAUAAAACAAGUACGAAUUUAGAUCUAGUUACUUUAGAGCUUUUAGUGCAAUUCUGAAAAAAUUGAAGUUUUACUCUGGUAACAUUUGCUGAUAUUUUUUAGACAAUUUAGUGGGUAUUAAUUUUAAGGAUGUACUCAGACAUGAGACUCUGUUAUUUACAGAGUUCAGCUUCUGCACUAUCACUCUGUUAUUUUUUAGACAACUGACUUUUAUUUUCCAUAGCUGAAGUUUUACUCUGGUAACAUUGCUUAGACGAUUAUUGAAAUGAAACUAAUUUUAAUUGGAGAACAAUACUAAAUAAACUUGUCCGACUAAAUGAAUUAUUGUGUUAUUGAUGGUGGCAUUUCUGCCUUGCUGGUUUAACUUUUGGAUUCAAUCAUUAAGUGGGUCACUCAGGUUAUUUUUCCGUUGUUGAUUGUUUUGUUCAGGUGAUAGUGGGUGGUGCUGUAUUCGUUGGAGGUGGCGGUGGUGCUGUUGCAGCUGCACCUGCAGGUGGUGCUGCUGCAGCUGAUGCUGCUGCAGCUGAUGCUGCCCCGGCUGCUGAGAAAAAGGAAGAAAAGGUGGAGGAAGAGUCCGAUGAUGAUAUGGGAUUGGGAC
rnacentral:lncRNA from 1 species